GGGAAGAAGAACUAGAAGAAGAAAACUCUGAGAUAGAAUAUCUUGACGGAGACGCUUCCAUUCACCAUUAGCCACGCAGAAAGCUAUGACUUUUAAAGAGCGAUACAAAGG